rnacentral:rRNA from 1 species
CCUACGGGUGGCAGCAGUGGGGAAUAUUGCACAAUGGGGGAAACCCUGAUGCAGCGACGCCGCGUGAGCGAUGAAGUAUUUCGGUAUGUAAAGCUCUAUCAGCAGGGAAGAAAAUGACGUUACCUGACUAAGAAGCCCCGGCUAACUACGUGCCAGCAGCCGCGGUAAUACGGAGGGGGCAAGCGUUAUCCGGAUUUACUGGGUGUAAAGGGAGCGUAGACGGCUGUGCAAGUCAGAGGUGAAAGCCCGGGGCUUAACCCGGGAACUGCUUUUGACACUGUGUGGCUGGAGUGUAGGAGAGGAAAGCGGAAUUCCUAGUGUAGGGGUGAAAUGCGUAGAUAUUAGGAGGAACACCAGUGGCGAAGGCGACCAGCUGGAAGAUAACUGACGUUGAGGCUCGAAAGCGUGGGGAGCAAACAGGAUUAGAUACCCUGGUAGUC